CGGGAGAUGCCCCGUGGGGGCCUGUCUCGAGGCCCUAAGAGAAAAAGAAGUCGGGAUGCAGAGUACCCAUCCUUUCCAGGAGAGAGUCCCCUACCUUGCAGACGAGCAGGGCUCAGGACCGUGGGGGCUGAGGCUUCCCUGUCUGAAGCAUGGCUCAGGUGUGGAGAAGGAUUUCUGAAGAGUCCCGGCACUCCGUCAUUAACAGCUGAAAAGAAGACUACCACAGAAAAACACCUUGAAUUAUCCUGUCGACCCAAGAAAGAACCUACCGCCUUUAAGAGUACCAGUGGGCUUGCAGCUAUAACGUGGAGUUCCAGUGAAAGUGAUCUGUCAGAUGAAGAUAAAACAGCUUUUAAAUCACACAGAGAUAAUAGAUAUCAUUCUAGAACAGGCAGGUGUUGUAACAGCAACAUUUUAUGUCCAGAAGAUGGGGCCAGUGAAGAUGACCUGCAGGUUAUUGACUGGGAGAUAGACAGUGAGAGGGAAGAUGCUUGUGAACGUGAUGAAUUUGAAGACCGAGAAAGUGUGCUGGAAAUAUCUGACUGUGCUUCUGGUGCAAGCAGUCGUUCUUUGACACCAGCAGAGACGCCACCUGAGCUUCCUAAGAUAAAUCCUACAGAGAUUUUAGAGUAUUCAUCAGAUAGUGAAGAAGAUGACAGCUCUGAGAACGUCUUGGUCAUUGAUUCAGAAUCCUCUCACAAAUACCACAUGGAUUUUGGGUCAAAUGGAACACAGGUUACAGAGAGAGGAGAAAACCUGAGGGUAGAAUCUACGGAGACCAUUUUGCAGACACCCAAGAAACACACAAAACUUCCCAAGACUCCAGAAAGUUCAGCAAAGAGGAAGAAGCUUUUAAGAGGCGGGCUAGCAGAAAGACUUAAUGGACUGCAGAAUCGAGAGAGAUCCACCAUUUCUUUGUGGAGACAUCAGGGUCUUUCUUACCAAAAGACACUUUCAGGUAUAAAAUCUGGUGUCUUAACUGUGAAGAUUCUAGAGCUGCAUGAGGAGUGCACUGUCCACGUCGCCACGUGUAGGCAGCUGUCAGAGCUACAGGCUGACGGCCCUUCUCAGGGUGGGGCCGCGGAGGCCAGCCUGAAGGUUCUCUUCACCAAGGAGACUGCCCGCUGUCUCAGGGGGCGUCCACAGGAUGUUGUCCACAUCUAUCCUCCCUGGCAAAAGCUUAUUAUCCCAGGUGGAAGUUGCCCUGUUAUUCUGAAUACUUACUUUUGUCAGAAAGCUGUUGCCAAAGAAGAUUCAGAAGCAUCACGUGAUGGGCAUGAGUGUGACGUGCCCUGUCCGAGGAGGAGCAGCACUCUGGCUCAGGUGUUCCAGUUUAAGAGCCUAACCGAUAGCUCACCCGAAAGCAAGGUUCUGUGUGAUCGUCACACUGCAGUGGGCACAGACCGGACCCUCCAUCCCGAACAAGCAGAGCCAUGCGUCCCCAGCCGAGCUCCCCUGAGGGAUUCUCUGCUGGAUGCAGUUGAGAGCCACGGAGCUGCUGCCUGGACGGGAGUGGGCGUGCGAGUGGUGGUGCAGAGAGUGUACUCCCUGCCCUGCAGAGGCCAGCAGGCAGACAGCACAGCCCCACCCAGAGCACGAGUCUGCCUUCUUGUGCAAGAUGCCCUUGGACUCUUCAGUGAGGUGCACUUGGAGGGCGACAUACUGAAGGACAGGCAGCUGGAGGGGAAGUGCUGCAGGCUGUCAGGCAUGAAGGUUCUGCAGAAGGUCACCAGAGCAAGGAUGGCCGAGCUUUUUAGUUUGAUUGACACCAUGUGGCCUCCACGGGCAGCUCUGAAAGCAACAGGCCCUGGCACAGCCUUUGAGGAGAAAACUCAUCUGCCUCCUCCUAGCUGCUGUUACAUCCUCAGCGCUCAUCCAGACUUGGGGCAGAUUGAUGUAAUUGAAGAUGACCCCGUUGCAGAACUUUACCAGCCACCGACUCCCCGCUUCUUAAAAGAAAUUAUGCAGGCGGAUGGCCUCUGUACCCAUUGCAGCUUCUGUGCCAGAGUGAUUUACCGGAGACCACAGGCAGACAGUUUGUUUCUGGAGCCAAGGGAGAUGUGGCUGGUGGUGACUGACAUUACUCUGCAGACACUGGACGAGGACUCAGGCCUCCCCAGGACUGUUCCUGUGCGUGUGGCCACCUCAUGCCUGCUGGACCAGGAAGUCCGGGAUGCUCUCUGCGAGACCACCUCCCAGAGCUUCCUCUUCCGGGACGCUCUCCGAGACCAGGGUCAGAUUGUCUGUGUUGGCCGAACUGUCCUCCUGCCUCUGAAACCCCAUGAGGGUGUGACCGUGGGUGCCGGGGAGCUGUCAGGCCCCCUGCGUCUGGAUGAGCUGGGCCCUGGCACUCGGGUCAACUCCAUUUGCAGCAUCCGAGGCACCGUGGUCGCUGUGGACGAGAGCACCGCCUGCUCGUGGCCUGUGUGUGAUCUGUGUGGCAGCGAGAGACUGGAACGGAGCCUGGCAGACAGCAGGGGCACCUUCUCCUGUGGGGACUGCUCCCGUGUGGUCACCUCGCCCAUCCUCAGGAGGCACCUGCAGGUCUUCCUGGACUCCGCCUCGCGACCCCGGUGCACAAUCAGGGUCAAGCUGCUACAAGACAGCAUCUCUUCGCUCCUGAGGUUCGCUGCCUGUGAGGAUGGGAGUUACGAAGUGAGGAGUGUCCUCGGAAAGGAGGUGGGGCCGUUAACCUGUUUUGUCCGGUGCCUCACCACCCACCCGACCAGCAGCAUGGGAUUGGAGGAGGUUGAGCUCCUGAGCGAGGGGAGAGCCUCUUGAGAAUACUGGCAACGGCCACAGGAUCUGCGAACUUUACCAAGUGGCUGAGAGGUGGUGGUGGUUUGGGUAAUUUCUUAACCCUGGGCAGAGUGAAUGUACUUUAUGAUCUUGAAAUGGAACUUCAUGUUAGUAAAAUGGCUUUGUAAACUAUAAAUCAAAAUACUUUUUUCUGUGAUUAUAUAUUUCUUAUUACCUUUCUGCAUGUUAAAGCUUAAAUAAGCUUCAGGCCUUCAUAUUUAUUUUAGAUAAUACAGUAGAAAAAAUUAUUUUGUCCUACUGUAAUUUUAAAGUGUUCCGUUCAAAUUUUACCAUGAUUCAACAGGUUUUUCUCCCCAUUUCUUUUAACAUUCCCCCAAAGAAUACCCGGCAAAGGGCAAACCUUUGUCCUCUCGUCUAUUACUGCCCUGCACAGUCAGUGUCCAACCUAAGUGCUUUGCAGUUCAUUAUUUUUUGGAAAAUGUUCUGGGGGCACUGUGUCAGAGGUCCAACUGUUAUGGGUAAAGUAUAGAUAACGUGAGAGAACAACAGGUCUGGUUAGCACUGGGUGCAGAGACAAGGCCACCCUGCCACAGGAGAGCUGGGUCAUCGUUCACCUUGUUGGCAGAGUAUCUGAGUUAAAAGUAAAACCCCGGAUUAAUUAUCUCUGGACACUAAAGAUUUUGUUUCCUCCCUUAUGACAAUAUAAUCAUGACAGGCCACAGUUAAUAAAUUACAUAAUAUAGAGGUAGCA
rnacentral:lncRNA from 1 species